rnacentral:misc_RNA from 1 species
UAGCUCUUUAACAAUUUGGAAAGCUGACGAAUAACAACAAUCCCCUUAUCUACGGAUAAGCGUUGUUAUUCAAUUAAAAGUUCUCAAAUCCUAAAACUGUGUUUUAGGUACCAACACACAUUCAAGUGUUCUUGGAAACAUCCUUGUGAUGUUUAUAUUUGAGUCCGGCAAAAUCGAAUGUCUCUCGCUCAUUCAAUAAUGAGAGACACAAACCUUGGUUGUUUGAACAUACAAGACCUCUUGGGGUUGUAU